rnacentral:lncRNA from 1 species
AUUACAAUUCCUGCCAUUAAUGUUGCUUAUAUUUCACGCAACCCGUGUAAGUCGUAAGCGUGUAUUAUCGCGAGGUUUCUCGAUGUGUAGUUGCCUACCAUAAGUCAUCGGAACAAUGCACGAGCACAUAGGUAUUAUUUACUCUACCUUCGUACUCGAGCUAUGAUCUAUACUCUAUGCGAGUAGUCUGCCAUCUAUACUUAUUUCCAUGUACUUGUUUCUCGAUUAAUGUCUCCCGAUUAUUAAAAAUUAACACGUCGAAUCAUUUGUAAAUGUAUAUCAAUUACUCGCAAUAGGUACAUACGCGAUGUAACGAUAAAGUAUUAUAUCCUUUUUCAUCCUUCAAACGAUUCAAAGUGUAGUUUGGAAUGUUACGAGGCGGAAUUGGCGCUUGUAAAAGUUAACAGGAAACAUAUCCGGGUUCAACCAGCUAUAUUUCACGAGUCGAAGUCUUGUAAGAGGAGAAACACGUAAAGAUAGUUGCAUAAAGGCACGUAGUUAAAUUGCGGCCAUUAUCGCGGAGAUCAAAUGAUGAAUACUGAUUCGAGAAAUAUGAGGUUUGCGCGAACUCAACAGUGUGCAACCACGUAUCGAUUCACGUUGAUCGAUCCAUCGUAGUUAACGACCAUAGAUGGACAAGAAUUGCAAAAAGUAAUUAAAGCCGAUUGGUUACGAAUUAUAAUCAUGCUUGUAAAUUAAUUUUCGAUAUACUACCGAGAUAUCGUCUUAGAUAUAGACGAACGAUCAAUGCAAAAUUAAAGAUAUGGCUUCUCUUAGUCGGACCACAAAUUAUAAUCAUCCUUGUAAAUUAAUUUGCGAUAUACUACCGAGAUAUGGUUUUAGAUAUAGACGAACGAUCAAUGAAAAAUUAAAGAUAUGGCUUCUCUUAGUCGGACCACAAAUUAUAAUCAUUCUUGUAAAUUAAUUUUUGAUAUACUACCAAGAUAUCGUCUCAGAUAUAAGCGAAUGAUCAAUGAAAAAUUAAGAAACUUUCAGAAUAUCAGUUUCUUUUUUUGAUACCACAAAUUAUAAUCAAGCUUAUAAAUUAAUUUUCGAUAUAGUAUCGUCUCAGAUAUAGGCAAACGAUCAAUGAAAAAUUAAGAAAGGUAUGUAUAUUUUGAUUGCAUUUAAGUUAGAUUAAGUAAUACGUUUAUGAUUCCAGAUAUGGGCUCUCUUUUAGUAUCACGAAUUAUAAUCAAGCUUGCAAAUUAAUUUUCAUUAUCGUGUCGGAUAUA